UNCAGGCUCUGCUAUUCAUUUGAAGGAAACU
rnacentral:piRNA from 1 species